rnacentral:rRNA from 2 species
CACCAUAGAUUGAUUUUGGUCGCCAACGAGUGGCGGACGGGUGAGUAACACGUAGGUAACCUGCCCAGAAGCGGGGGACAACAUUUGGAAACAGAUGCUAAUACCGCAUAACAGCGUUGUUCGCAUGAACAACGCUUAAAAGAUGGCUUCUCGCUAUCACUUCUGGAUGGACCUGCGGUGCAUUAGCUUGUUGGUGGGGUAACGGCCUACCAAGGCGAUGAUGCAUAGCCGAGUUGAGAGACUGAUCGGCCACAAUGGGACUGAGACACGGCCCAUACUCCUACGGGAGGCAGCAGUAGGGAAUCUUCCACAAUGGGCGCAAGCCUGAUGGAGCAACACCGCGUGAGUGAAGAAGGGUUUCGGCUCGUAAAGCUCUGUUGUUAAAGAAGAACACGUAUGAGAGUAACUGUUCAUACGUUGACGGUAUUUAACCAGAAAGUCACGGCUAACUACGUGCCAGCAGCCGCGGUAAUACGUAGGUGGCAAGCGUUAUCCGGAUUUAUUGGGCGUAAAGAGAGUGCAGGCGGUUUUCUAAGUCUGAUGUGAAAGCCUUCGGCUUAACCGGAGAAGUGCAUCGGAAACUGGAUAACUUGAGUGCAGAAGAGGGUAGUGGAACUCCAUGUGUAGCGGUGGAAUGCGUAGAUAUAUGGAAGAACACCAGUGGCGAA